rnacentral:rRNA from 1 species
GUAGGCNGAAACUCGCCUACAUGAAGCUGGAGUUACUAGUAAUCGCAGAUCAGAAUGCUGCGGUGAAUGCGUUCCCGGGUCUUGUACACACCGCCCGUCACACCACGGAAGUUGGGGCGCCCGAAGCCACUUAGCUAACCCUUUUGGGAAGCGAGUGUCGAAGGUGAAAUCAAUAACUGGGGUGAAGUCGUAACAAGGUAAC